CUCCCAAACGCCGCCGCUCCAGAUCCCUCGUCCCUCACCCUCUCCCCUCGUCUCCCACCCACCGCCGCCACCCACCCGCCGUCCCUCCCAAACUGCGCCUCCGUACCGCCCACCUCCUCUCCUCCCACCUCAAGCAGAGCCCUCUCUCUCCGCCGCCGCCAGACGAUUCUGGCGAUCUCUGGCUCCUGGGGCAUAACACGAGCGGCUCCUGGGGCUCGUCUCGCUCCGCUGGGUCUUCCAGCGCCACCCGCGACCGUCUCCCGUAGCUAGGGUUUUCCCCGGCGUGGUUCGGCGACUCAGAUCCAGGAUGCCAUGGGCGGAUGGCCUCUUCCUCCCCUGCCCCGACGCCAUGAAGUUGCUAGACCUGGCCGUUGGCCGCGAGCCCAGCCACCUCCUUGCGGCCGCAUCGUCUGGAUCUGGCCGACUCUCUAGCCCGGCCGCAUCAUCGGGGUCUGGCCCGCGAGGAUCCAGGCCGCUCACCCCCGCUCCCGUCUGUCGCCGCUCCGGAUCCGCGCCACCCGCGCUCCUCGACCUCGAGCUUCGCCCCCGCCCGUCUGUUGCCGCUCCGAGGCGGCGACACAGCUGGCCUGAGCCCGAGCAAGAGCAGCAACUCAUCUCGCCCAAGCCGUUGGCCGUGAGCCCAGCCACCUCCUCGUCCUGGAAAGGGUUCAACCAAUGCAGCCCACGAGAUGAAUAUAUGAGUAUAUGAGCUAAUGUAUGUUUUGGUAGAUAUAUACAAAUCAAUGUGAAUUCUGAACUGAGCGACCCAUGAGUUCAUCCAUACAAAUAUGUGAAUUCUGAACUGAGUGACCCUUGAGUUCAUCCAUACAAAUAUUCAUCUCGAUAGUCCACUGUUUACUACAGUAGUAGUUAUUUUAGUUUCCACACAUCGGUUAUUCUGAAUUCCCAGUCACAGGUAACUGCCAAACCGCACAACUUAAUUUUACACUACUGGAAAAGGGUGCAAGUUAUGAUUCCUUUGCUGAAGCCUGCACGUCUCUAUCUAAAUUGUUUGUCAUGAGUUUUCUGACUUUAAUCGAUCGCAGCAGCUGGAAGAUGGAGCCUGACCAGAGUGGCACCGGGCAGACUUCUCCCCGUGGGAAUGACUGAGAGGUUGUGCAGCUCACUGCGUGGCCUGCCUAGGGUUUCUGGUGGCUACACGCCGGCCAUGGGUCUCCGAACACCAUGAAGGCGACGAUGCUGAUUCGAUUUGAUCCUCAAGGCCACCCGUGGAUCUUGCUGCAGGAGGUGUGUUUUGGAGAACCAACCUGAGAUGCAGGUGGGUUCUUGGGCCGUGCUCUUCUCGAGCAUGAGGGCCAUGAGGGGUUUGCUCCUCUGCCCCUAGGGCGACCAAGAGGUCCUGCCCUGAGGUCAAGCACGUCCACGCCGACCCACGACGACACGUAGCAUCUCCAUCUCCCUCUGCUUGCUAUUGCUGCUCCGAAUUAUACAUGUUGGCAAAGAGAUGUCCCUGUUUUCCUCAAUACUAUGCACUGCUAUAUUUAUGUGGCUGUCUUUGUGUGCAUCUUAUUUUGAAACCAACUGAGACACCUCCAUCUUAUUAUGUGGUUGUCUUCGUGUAUAUCUAGCGUUGCUCUCACUACCUCCCGUCCCUAGAUUUCCAAUUGCCUUUGUUGCCUGCUCAUUUAAUUAAUUAAAACUGCAUGUGUGCGUGUAAGUAUGGCUGUGAGAACAAGAUCAAUGGUGGCUUCCACCAAACAGAUCAAACUUUUAAUACUUGCUACACAUGCUUGUGUACCUAAACAUAUUGUAAACUUGUUGUUGUUGUUGACCGUGCAGUCUAAAAAACAACACCCGUUCAGUCUCAUUAUUGUGUACCUGAUUGUGUAUGUGAUGAUUGUAGUGAUGAUCUUUGACAUUUGAAAGAUAAAUGGCAUGUUCUUAGUUCUCACCUUUGAGUAGUUUUGAUAUUGCGUUAAAGAGUCAUUUCUCAUUUGUUCUGUUAAAGUUGUCUACACUCUUCCCAAGAGAUGUUGUUUCUUAUUAUUCGUACUUAAAUGGCUUAAAGUUGUAGAAACCAUGUUUUUAGAACAACUAUAGUUGCCUUCAAAAGCUGCAAUUAAUUGGAGAGGGUACCUUAUUAUUUGCUCUCUUUAAUUGUUUUUGCAGGUCCAUAACAGCUCGCUCAAUCAGUAUUGGCUGUGACGUCGAUGGAGAACUAAACCUUGCUGCCACACUCUGCAACAUCAACAGGUGCCUACGUUCGGACUCUACGAACAUACCCGAAAAUGGUGUUCCCUCAUUUACAGGAGCUCUAGUCUGGAAGUGAAGUAGGAAGUAUAUUUGAAGUUCAAGGCCGUGUAGCAAAUAGUUGUAUGUUUUGUCUAUGUGUAAUAGACUAUACAUAUUGUAAUAGACUAUGUACAGAUUAUAGUAGACUAAUUUAGUGUUCUUUGUUGAACUGCAUCUGUUAUAUUUUGUUUGAAAUAAUGAUUAUGUGAUUUGAAAAAAAUCAGUGAAAUGGAAACCUGACUCGUGGGACCAACUUAUGAAAA